UACGUAGGGGGCGAGCGUUGUCCGGAAUUAUUGGGCGUAAAGAGCUCGUAGGCGGUUUGUCGCGUCGGCCGUGAAAACUUGGGGCUUAACCCCGAGCCUGCGGUCGAUACGGGCAGACUUGAGUUCGGCAGGGGAGACUGGAAUUCCUGGUGUAGCGGUGAAAUGCGCAGAUAUCAGGAGGAACACCGGUGGCGAAGGCGGGUCUCUGGGCCGAUACUGACGCUGAGGAGCGAAAGCGUGGGGAGCGAACAGG
rnacentral:rRNA from 1 species